UCCUCCUACGGGAGGCAGCAGUGAGGAAUAUUGGUCAAUGGCCGAGAGGCUGAACCAGCCAAGUCGCGUGAGGGAUGACGGCCCUACGGGUUGUAAACCUCUUUUGUCGGGGAGCAAGACCCGCCUCGUGCAGGCGGAGCGAGAGUACCCGAAGAAAAAGCAUCGGCUAACUCCGUGCCAGCAGCCGCGGUAAUACGUAGGGGGCAAGCGUUAUCCGGAUUUACUGGGUGUAAAGGGAGCGUAGACGGCAGCGCAAGUCUGGAGUGAAAGGUACCGGCUCAACCGGUACAGGCUCUGGAAACUGG
rnacentral:rRNA from 1 species